AAAACCGGAGAAUGUAUUUUAAGGUUGUUAACUUAAAGUUUGCGGGGUUUUA
rnacentral:tRNA from 1 species